CAACUGUUCCCUCUGGAGGUUCUUGACCUUCAUACUCUAGCCACCGUGUAAAGCGGUGGCUUUUUUUUGGCAUUAG
rnacentral:sRNA from 1 species